UGGGGAAUAUUGGACAAUGGGCGAAAGCCUGAUCCAGCCAUGCCGCGUGUGUGAAGAAGGUCUUCGGAUUGUAAAGCACUUUAAGUUGGGAGGAAGGGCAGUAAGCGAAUACCUUGCUGUUUUGACGUUACCGACAGAAUAAGCACCGGCUAACUCUGUGCCAGCAGCCGCGGUAAUACAGAGGGUGCAAGCGUUAAUCGGAAUUACUGGGCGUAAAGCGCGCGUAGGUGGUUCGUUAAGUUGAAUGUGAAAGCCCCGGGCUCAACCUGGGAACUGCAUCCAAAACUGGCGAGCUAGAGUAGGGCAGAGGGUGGGGAAUUUCCUGUGUAGCGGUGAAAUGCGUAGAUAUAGGAAGGAACACCAGUGGCGAAGGCGACCACCUGGGCUCAUACUGACACUGAGGUGCGAAAGCGUGGGGAGCAAACAGG
rnacentral:rRNA from 1 species